UUUCCGUAGGUGAACCUGCGGAAGGAUCAUUACUGAGUGAGGGCCCCUCGGGGUCCAACCUCCCACCCGUGUUUAACGAACCUUGUUGCUUCGGCGGGCCCGCCUCACGGCCGCCGGGGGGCAUCUGCCCCCGGGCCCGUGCCCGCCGAAGCCACCUGUGAACGCUGUCUGAAGUAUGCAGUCUGAGACAAUUAUUAAAUUAAUUAAAACUUUCAACAACGGAUCUCUUGGUUCCG
rnacentral:misc_RNA from 1 species